GUCCCUGUAGCGCAAUAGAUAGCACGUUGGACUUCUAAUCCAAAGAACGAGAGUUCGAAUCCCUCCUGAGAUG